rnacentral:rRNA from 1 species
UACGUAGGGGGCGAGCGUUGUCCGGAAUCAUUGGGCGUAAAGAGCUCGUAGGCGGUUCAGUAAGUCAGGUGUGAAAGCUCCGAGCUCAACUCGGAGAGGCCACCUGAUACUGCUGUGACUAGAAUCCAGUAGGGGAGUGUGGAACUCCUGGUGUAGCGGUGAAAUGCGCAGAUAUCAGGAAGAACACCAAUGGCGAAGGCAGCUCGCUGGGACGGUACUGACGCUGGAGACGCGAAAGCGUGGGGAGCAAACAGG